UACGUAGGGGGCAAGCGUUGUUCGGAUUUACUGGGCGUAAAGGGCGCGUAGGCGGCGCGUAAAGUCGGACAUGAAAUCAUUGGGCUUAACCCAAGGGCUGUGCCCGAUACUUGCGGGCUUAGAGUGCGGGAGAGGCAAUCGGAAUUCUCGGUGUAGCGGUGAAAUGCGUAGAUAUCGAGAGGAACUCCGGUGACGAAGGUGGGUUGCUGGACCGACACUGACGCUGAGGCGCGAAAGCUAGGGGAGCAAACGGG
rnacentral:rRNA from 1 species